GACGAACCGUGCGAACGUUGUUCGGAAUCACUGGGCUUAAAGGGCGCGUAGGCGGACUGCCAAGUCCGGGGUGAAAUCCUCCGGCUUAACCGGAGAAUUGCCUGGGAUACUGGCGGUCUUGAGGGAGGUAGGGGCACGCGGAACUUCCGGUGGAGCGGUGAAAUGCGUUGAUAUCGGAAGGAACGCCGGUGGCGAAAGCGGCGUGGCUGGCCCUCUUCUGACGCUGAGGCGCGAAAGCCAGGGGA
rnacentral:rRNA from 1 species